GAGCAAUAUCUGGUUCCAUAACCACAGGUUCCUGUACGUGAAUAACCUCAUUACCUGUCACUAAAUAUAAUGCACUUCUGUUUCAGUACUACAGUUAGCUGCGGUAUGGAUACAAAGACACCUCUGUUCCAGAAAUGAUUUAUGGCCUUGAGAGGUAUACACCGGACAAUGAGGCAACCGCAUACCACGUGCAUCAAGAACACUCUGUGAUCAUCCCUGCAGGGAGCUGUCAUUGUCUAGUUUUCCAGCGUUGUCACUGACAGAUGAAACAGGAUGAAAAAAAAAAACAACAGAUGACAUUAAACUGGACACCCAGAAUUGAAGCAAUAGCAAGUUCAUGGACGACUAGAGUUUAGCAUGCUGAAAGUGCUGCAUUCUGAGAUAUUAUUCUUCUUGAAGAGCUGCGAGGCCUCGUUCUGAAGACUCAGUGCAGGUCUACCCACUAUCCAUUUUUCCUAUCUCUUUUUUUUUUUUUUCUGGACUGUCAUUGUUAACUGAUGGAAAAAGUAUUAACUGAAAUACUCAUCAUUAAAGCUGC
rnacentral:lncRNA from 1 species